ensembl:lncRNA
GGGUAGAGUCCAGUGUGUGUGUGGGUACAGCCCAGUGUGUGGGUAGAGACCAGUGAGUGUGUGGGUAGAGUCAAGUGAGUUUGUGGGAAGAGUCCAGUGUGUGGGUACAGUCCAGUGUGUUGGGUAGAGUCCAGUGUGCGGGUAGAGUCCAGUGUGUGGCUAGAGUCCAGUGUGUGGGUAGAGUCCAGUAUGGGUAGAGUCCAGUGUGUGGGUAGAAUCCAGUGAGUUUGUGGGUAGAGUCCAGUGUUGUGGGUAGAGUCCAGUGUGUGUGGGGGUAGAGUCCAGUGUGUGGGUAGAGUCCAGUGUGUGGGUAGAGUCCAGUAUGUGGGUAGAGUCCAGUGUGUGGGUAGAGUCCAGUGUGUGGGUAGAGUCCAGUGUGUGGGUAGAGUCCAGAGUGUGGGGUAGAGUCCAGAGUGUGGGGUAGAGUCCAGAGUGUGGGGUAGAGUCCAGUGUGUGGGUAGAGUCCAGUGUGUGGGUAGAGUCCAGUGUGUUGGGUCGAGUCCAGUGUGUUGGGUCGAGUCCAGUGUGUUGGGUCGAGUCCAGUGUGCGGGUCGAGUCCAGUGUGCGGGUAGAGUCCAGUGUGCGGUUAGAGUCCAGUGUGCGGGUAGAGUCCAGUGUGCGGGUAGAGUCCAGUGUGCGGGUAGAGUCCAGUGUGCGGGUAGAGUCCAGUGUGCGGUUAGAGUCCAGUGUGCGGGUAGAGUCCAGUGUGUGGGUAUCAGUACAAGAGUUAGUGCAAAAAAGGUCAAUGCAGGUAGUCCGAGUAACCAUUUCAUUAGCUAAUUAGCAGUCUUGUUUAGCGGCCUUAUGGCUUGGGGGUAGAAGCUGUUCAGGGUCCUGCUGGUUUCAGACUUUGUGCACUGGUACCGCUUGCCAUUCAGUAGCAGAGAAAACA